rnacentral:rRNA from 1 species
GACGAACGCUGGCGGCGUGCCUAAUACAUGCAAGUUGAGCGCUGAAGGUUGGUACUUGUACCGACUGGAUGAGCAGCGAACGGGUGAGUAACGCGUGGGGAAUCUGCCUUUGAGCGGGGGCAACAUUUGGAAACGAAUGCUAAUACCGCAUAAAAACUUUAAACACAAGUUUUAAGUUUGAAAGAUGCAAUUGCAUCACUCAAAGAUGAUCCCGCGUUGUAUUAGCUAGUUGGUGAGGUAAAGGCUCACCAAGGCGAUGAUACAUAGCCGACCUGAGAGGGUGAUCGGCCACAUUGGGACUGAGACACGGCCCAAACUCCUACGGGAGGCAGCAGUAGGGAAUCUUCGGCAAUGGACGAAAGUCUGACCGAGCAACGCCGCGUGAGUGAAGAAGGUUUUCGGAUCGUAAAACUCUGUUGGUAGAGAAGAACGUUGGUGAGAGUGGAAAGCUCAUCAAGUGACGGUAACUACCCAGAAAGGGACGGCUAACUACGUG